AGAGUUUGAUCAUGGCUCAGAUUGAACGCUGGCGGCAUGCCUAACACAUGCAAGUCGAACGAGAGUAGGGGGCAACUCCUGCUCUAGUGGCGGACGGGUGAGUAAUACGUAGGAAUCUUCCCUAAAGCGGGGGACAACCCGGGGAAACUCGGGCUAAUACCGCAUAAUCUCUACGGAGCAAAGAAGGGGACCUUUCGGGG
rnacentral:rRNA from 1 species